AAACUGAAGAAGACUUAACUCGCGUUGAUGGAUAUCUAAAUACAGAGAAAAAUUUUAAUGCUGCGAUGAAUGAACUUUCAAAAAUUGGUGGGAGUUCCAUAUAUAAUUUUAUACAAAGAGCUUUGCAAAUGCUGAUAACAAAUAAUCUUGCAGCAACCUAUAGCUGGUUAGGGAGACGUGCCAAAAAAAUAUUCAACAAAUUAAAAUUAGCGGAUUUGAUAAUUGGUUCUGCUAAGAAAAGUAUUUCAAAUGCGACUAACAAAGAUUGCGAAGAAGCAAUUAAAAAAUGGCUAAGGAGGGCAAAAGAACGCAGCAAUAAUAAUAAAAUUAACCACGGAGAAAAUAUUGAAGAGAAUCUCGUCAGAGACGAGAAUAUUGAUGAUUAAUUUUAUCCUGUCAGCUCAUGUGUUCGCGUUAAUAUACACGGUCGGUCUCUUGCGCGUUCCGCGUGACGCGUGAACUUGGCACGAGACACGACCGUGUCUCUUGAUUCUUUAAUUUUUUAAUUUAGUUUUUAUUUAUGAGUUUAUUUUAUAAAGUUUAUUUUAUUU